CAUCAUAUCGAAGCAAUAAACUUUGUAUUUCCACUAAUCAUAUCCCACAAUUCUUACUUCGGCAAACGUUAAACAGUCAGGACAGUUCGGCCUGUUACGUUGUUGGAAACCGAAAUUAACCGAAGGUUUCCGAAUUUAAAAAAAGGCGGGGAUACUUUCCUUAUGCUAUUUUAGCGAAAGUAGAUAAAAUUUAGUUUAUGCUUACAAAAAUGUUAUUUACCGGGAAGAUGUUUCUCCUGCGCAGAGUUUCGGGAGAUUUGAUCAAAUACCGGGAGACUCCCGCGGAAUCUGGGAGGGUUGACAGCUGUAUGAUCCAAAGCUGCCAUCUGAGGGCCGGAAGACUCCGGUUGUUGCCAAUGUCGUGGUGCCAAAAAUGAAGCCAGCCACAGAGUGGGACAAACCUAAACCAAAAAUAGUAAUAGUUGCCAAACCUGCUCCUCCUAAUGCCCCUGUAAAACCUCUGGAUUAUUCUGGUUAUGCUGGGCCGCGAUACCACCACGAUGGUUCUGUUGUUCCACACAGUAUUUUAGGUUCAUACAAAGACUUUCACAGAGAAGCUGUUAAACGUGGAGAUUUGAUGGUAAGGCUGAUAUAUUUCGAAUGUUUGGGGAGUUUGGGAUUGUUGCUGUUUUUGCUAAACCUUUUUGUGGCCUGUUCUGUCUGAAUUAUUCUGUUACACUUGAUUGAAUCAAUCCUGUUUUCGUCUCGCUUUUACAAAGUAAAAAGGCAAGAUAUAGCUAUCACUUUUCCAACUGCAGAAAUGGUCUCAACUUGUGUGGUGAACUUCCACAAACUAUAAGAUCUAGGACAUUGAAACUUGGUUUACAGUUGCACCUAUGGAUGUUCAUCACAGUGCACUGAAAACGUUUAUUGUAGGCGAAACAUCUAAUUCCACAGAAUUCUUGUUGUUUAUUUCCUGCAGUAAUAUAUUCCAAAGUUUUAACAGAUUUAAGUUCCUCAAAGGGCCAUGUUCAUUGAUCAGUUAUUGAUUGAUCAUUGACUGGUGAUCUGUCACAAAAUGUCAUCUCAGGCCUCUGAAAAUUAUGAGAACAGUUUAGUUUUAUUCGUGCAACACUUGUACAAGUCCAGUUUUGCAUAACCCAUUUUUCAUUCUUGCAUUAUAUGUAAGACAUCAUUUACAUAGUCAUUAUGGGUUAAGCAGAAAUAAAAGGGGUUAUUGUAGUACUAAACCAAAUAACUUCCGGCUGGGUAAAAUUCCGAGGUGCACCCAAACUUUGAUAGAGAAGUGAACACCACAAGUCCUGUGGUUGGUUAUAAAUGUGAGUGUGUUGGUUGUAAAAAACAAUAGUUUCAUCUGGGUAAAAAAAAAAAAGCAGUUUUAUUUCAUCUAGUAUCACUGUGUCAAGUAGUCUUGUGCUUGAAACAUGUAUGGGGUACCUGUGAAAAAAAAGUACUCAAAUUUUGUGCGGAUCUAGGAUAGUAACUUAAUACUAUAGAUAUUUAAGAGUAUAGACAUUAUACUGUAGAUAUUUAAGAGUGUAACUUAAUACUAUACAUAUUUAAGAGUAUAGACGUAAUACUGUAGAUAUUUAAGAGUGUAACUUAAUACUAUACAUAUUUAAGAGUAUAGGCGUAAUACUGCAGAUAUUUAAGAGUAUAGACUUAAUACUAUAGAUAUUUAAGAGUUUAGACUUAAUACUAUAGAUAUUUAAGAGCCUAGACUUAAUACUAUAGAUAUUUAAGAGUAUAGACAUUGAAUUUUAGCAGAAUUUGUUUUGUUGAAAGCUGUAUUUCUGUUUUUGUGCCUUCUAAAAAGUGUCUUAAAUCUGUUGUUGAUGUUCCAACCUCUACUAUUAUUAGACUUAAACAAUCAACAAUAUUUAGUUUUACUUAGUCAUAACAUAGCACUAGAUUAAAAAAAAAAAAUGGUAUGUGUACCAUUACAUAGUUGUAUUAGGAUUAUUCUUGUAAGUAAAUUUCAUUAAGUUUGUGAACUAUUCCCCCACAACUAUCUUUCCAUAUUUGAUUGGGAUUUGUUUCGUUUUUUCAAUUUUCACAACCAUUUGUUUUAAAUUGGAUAGUCAAUAAUGAUUAUUAUUAUUCAAAAUAUUAGUUAAAUACUAUACAAAUGUGAUAACUCACUAGUGAAAAUAAAACCAUUUUCACCUAGUUGCUUUCUGUUAACGAUAUCUGACAUAGUUAUAGGGUUUUUCUAUGCUUCUUAAUGUUUAGUUUCAUGUCACACAAACACAACUUACGUUUCGAUUGUAGACUUCUUUUCAGGAGUUAUAAAUUUCCUGUUAUGUAUUCACUUUCUAAUUUUUGACAAUGAAUCCAGUCAACUUUAAAACGUUUAUCACAUUAUUGUAACGUUUAUCACAUUAUUGUAACGUUUGCAAGAUAAUUAUUUGGAUUUAUUUUCAUGUACUAGAUUGUGUGUAAAAAAAACAAAAAAAACAAAGAAGAAAAUGGCCGACUAGGUCGUGAAAUAAAUCUUAGUUUGUGAUGUAUGUUUUGUCCUUGAAUGUUGAUUAUGUCUACAGUUACAAUGCUUUACAGUUGUUAAAUUGUUGUUUUAAUGUUUUAAAUUAUUUUUAUUGGGUAACAAACAUUCUGCAUGAAAUCUUGCUGUUGGCAUCCUGCAUUAAGUAAAACAAUGCUACUGAUGGAAAAUGUAGCAAGUUUCCUCUCUAAGACUAACUGUCAGAAUUACCAAAUGUUUGACGUCUAACAGCUGAUGAUUAAUAAAUCAAUGUGCUGUAGUGGUGUCAUUACAACAUAAAAAACUUACCGGUAAGUAAAAAACAAAUUAAAUUGAUUUUUAGCUGUGAUAAUGAUUCAUUUUAAGUGUUUUUUGUGGUUACCCCCUGACAUGGAUUAAACAGAUUUCACCCGGUAAUUCUUACAUUAAGUUGUGGAUGCAUUUUGCUAUAUUUUAUUGUUGAGCUUUUAAAUGUUUUGAUAUGCAGUGAUGCCUAAAAAGGGUUUAGUGCCUUUGUGUUCCAUCUGUUUUUAAUAAAUGAAUAUUGUACCAAACAUA